rnacentral:rRNA from 1 species
UACGGGGGGGGCAAGCGUUGUGCGGAAUUACUGGGCGUAAAGGGCUCGUAGGCGGCCAACUAAGUCAGACGUGAAAUCCCUCGGCUUAACCGGGGAACUGCAUCUGAUACUGGAUGGCUUGAGUUCGGGAGGGGGAUGCGGAAUUCCAGGUGUAGCGGUGAAAUGCGUAGAUAUCUGGAGGAACACCGGUGGCGAAGGCGGCAUCCUGGACCGACACUGACGCUGAGGAGCGAAAGCCGGGGGAGCAAACGGG